rnacentral:rRNA from 1 species
UACGUAGGGUGCGAGCGUUGUCCGGAAUUAUUGGGCGUAAAGAGCUCGUAGGCGGUGUGUCACGUCGGCCGUGAAAACCUGCAGCUUAACUGUGGGCGUGCGGUCGAUACGGGCAUCACUGGAGUUCGGUAGGGGAGACUGGAAUUCCUGGUGUAGCGGUGAAAUGCGCAGAUAUCAGGAGGAACACCGGUGGCGAAGGCGGGUCUCUGGGCCGAAUGACUGACGCUGGAGGAGCGAAAGCGUGGGGAGCGAACAGGA